AGAGAGUUUAAGGGCGGUUUGAAGGUUAGGUUUGGUCUUGUCUAUUUAUGCGAAAUUUUGGGUUAAAUAAUUGUUGGGGGCAGUUAUCAGGAUUGUAUAUCCAUUCAUUUGGGAUGCAGGAAUGGCCUAUAGUACUGACACAAUUUGUGCCAGCAGUCGCGGUUAUACAAAUAGUACAAUUUAAUUUGGUCAGUUGGGAGUUAGUCGAACAUAGAUUUGCUUAUAAGAUUAAUAUUUGAAGGUGAAAUUUUAAUUUUAUUAUGAGGGCAAGGUUAAUUAGGCGAAGCUCGGAAAUUUUUUCUUUAGACUAGGAUUAGAUACCCUGCUAUUAAAAACGUUAAUUUUUAAAACUUGAUUAGUAUGAGUUAAGGUCUUGAAAAUCAAACAUUUUGGCGGUAUAUUAAUCUCUUCAGAGGAACCUGCCCUGUAAUCGAUAGUCCACGAUUUGUUUGACUUUAUUAUGUGUUUGUAUAUCGUCGUUGUUGGAAUAUUUUUUGAAAAUUUAAAUGUUCACAGGUUUUUACGAAAAAGGAAAUCAGAUCAAGGUGCAGCAUUGUAAAGGAGAGGUGGGUUACAUUAUGUUUAUAAUAGGAGUCGAAAGUUUAAGAUUUCGGUGAAUUUGGAUUUGAUAGUAAUUUUAUUAAAAAGUUAUUUUGAACGGAGCUCUAAAAUAUGCACAUAUCGCCCGUCGCUUUCAUUUUUAAUGAAAUAAGUCGUAACAAAGCAGGUUUACUGGAAAGUGGUCCUGGAAUGUC
rnacentral:ncRNA from 1 species